rnacentral:misc_RNA from 1 species
UGUUUAUUAUUGCCAAUUUAAAAGUAUCGCUUCCUGUGAUGUAACGAAAGCAAAAUGUGCCACAGGGAGCCCAACUGUUCCGAGUCAACUUAGAAACGAGAUUGUGACUUUACGCCGUCAUACUCUUCCAUCCUCCACGAUAGCAGAAAAUUAUCUACGUGCGCAAGUAGCCAGAGCUCCAAAGUCGUUGAAACUUUUUAUUUGGAGCUCGCAGUUUAUGUUCAGCCGGAGAAAUUAAGAGGUUCUCCGAUGAGUGCGCGCUUAUUCAGCGAAAAGCUCUUAUAAGGGAAUGUAUGUAAACACAACAGGGAGUUUGACAAUUUCUAUCGCGAUUUGAUUUCAACGUACUGCAAAACCGAAUUUUCUUGACCGUAUUCGAUAGGGGAAUAAUGUUCGACAAUGAAUUUCCAGCUGCAUUACAGCUAUCUAGUAUUUUUCACACCCCCUAGAGGUUAGGCCUGUGUUCAAGAGCAUGGAUGUGGAUGGUCCGAUAGUCCACAUUCAAAUCUGCCGUCAUCUUCUUCCAUCCUGCACGAUAGCAGCAAAGUAAACUCUCUACAAUGCGCAGGUAGCCAGAGCUUCAAAGUCGAUGUAAGAAUAAAAUUGCAAGUAUCGUAAUUGAAAAAUUAAAAGAAAAAGCUAUAUAUCUGUUUUGGCACUCGUAUAAUGUGCGCAAGUUCAAAGGCUUUUUAUUUUCCACUAAAAACAUAAACAACAUUUACUAAAGGCCACUAUAGUAAGCUUAUGGACGAGGAAGUUGGGGAUCCCUGGUUGUUAUCUAAUCAAAAUAUGCUAAUCAUUUUAUGUCGAAAUGGGUUGCCUGUGGAGUGCAGCAAUCCAAGAUGGCGGACAAGGUUGACCAAAAUCGUUCUUAACAAAUUUAUCAAAUAUUACAAAAAUGCAUGAGUUUAAACUAUAAUAAUUAGUAUCAUGGCAUUUUUGAGCACUGCAUGGCUGUCUGGGUAUGUUGCAACUACAUUAGUACGGCGUGCUUUUAGCAGAUUUUAUCGCCAUUUGACGACUACAGAACUUGAACAUCGUCCUCUGUCUGACAUCCAUUAUCAACCUUCAAGGAUAACUAGAAUGAGUACUAACGCGGUUAAAACCAAACCACCAAACAUUCUAGUCUAUGCUGGUAGUGGAGAAGAAGGUGGAAGGGAUUUCGAGUUCAUCAAGGAUGUUUUAUCACGCAUUUUGGACAGGAAUAGCUACGUAGUUUAUCAAAUCGAUGAUGACAAAGUUCUUCAUCACCCUUGGUCGAAAAACUCUGUUUUAUUACUAAUACAUAAUACACAGACAAUACAAAAGCCGAUUCUCAGGAAAUUUGAAGAGUAUUUGGUUAACGGGGGAAGUAUUCUCAGUGUUGGUUGUAAAGAUCAUGAAAACUUGAGCGGAUUAUUGGGGGGAGUGACAUUGAAACCUUUGGAUUUGAAGUGCAGUGAUGAUUGUACAGUUGAGAUCAUUACUGACAGACUGGACAUUCCAUUGAACCAAGUUGAUAUUCCGAGUGAACCAUUCUUCUUUGAAGGUAUGAGUGACACAUUUGAAGUGUUAGCAAACAAGAAAGGGUCUGGUCGACCAAUGAUAGUGUAUUCUUGCAACCAGCAAAGCAAGGCUAUCUUGUCUAUAGUAGACCUGUUCACAUCAAACCAUGUUGAAAAUAAAAGACAGUUAUUGCAAGCUUUAUUGAAGAAACUAGAUGUGAAAUGUGUUUCACAGCAAAUACCAUGUCUCACUCCAGCAUUUUUAUUUGCCAGCAAAAAGAAUAUUGACCAGCUAUUGAAAUCCUUACGCCCCCAUCUGUCUGAUGGCAUUUGUAAAGGAAAACAAGUUUCUUUGCUGUUUUGUGACAAAAGCACCACACAAAAUAUUCCUUUGACAAGAGAAGACAUGCUGCCAGUAAACACUGACCAUGCUGCACAAUGUGGAUUUGAUUGGGAGAUAUAUCAAGAGCAUCUUAAUACGAAUACUUUGGGACAGAUGGUCAUAUACACUGAUGUUAUCCCAUCUACACAGACUCUACUAGAAGGGAACUUGACAUUUGUGCAGAAUAUCCCAGAGCAGAUUGGUAUUGUAGCUGUAACCAGACAGCAAGUCAAAGGGAAAGGUCGCAGUGGGAAUGCAUGGCUGUCUCCCAUUGGUUGUUUGAUGUUUUCCACAGUUGUCACAGUAGAGUUUGGUACUGAACUUGGUUCACGAUUACCAUAUCUACAACACAUUGCAUCCUUAGCUCUGGUCGAAGCACUCCGAAGUGUAGAAGGAUAUCAAAAGAUCAAUGUUUGUCUUAAAUGGCCAAAUGAUAUAUAUUAUGGGAGGAAUGUCAAGAUUGGUGGAGUCGUAGUGUCGUCUACGGCAUAUGGCAAUAGUUUUAGUGCUGUUAUUGGUAUGGGUGUAAAUGUAUCCAAUAAAGAACCAACGAUUUGUAUCAAUGACGUAAUAAAACAAUAUAACGAAGAGAACAACACACACCUGGCUGAACUAUCUCUGGAAAUGCUGCUAGCAAGAACAGUGACUUGUAUGGAAAAUUUGAUUGUUGACUUUCAAAAACAUGGAAAGGAAGGAUUCUUAAGGAAGUACUACAAAUGGUGGCUACAUAGUGAUUCCAAAGUCACCCUGAACACAGCUGGUCAUCCUCAAGAAGUUACCAUCAUUGGUUUGGAUGAUUUUGGUUUUCUUUUGGUCCAGAAAGAAAGUGGAGAAAAACUAUCAGUCCAACCAGAUGGAAAUACCUUUGAUCUGUUGGCUAAUUUGAUUGCAUUCAAAUAAUGUGCGCCUCCAGACCCCUACCUUCUCCAAGGAGGGGUGUGAGAGGGUAUAUAUAUGAGAUAAAUAGUUCCUGGUGAUGUUCAGCAACACUCCUCCAUGAAAGGAGGGUGGUUGUUGAAUGCCAGACACACCACCCUCCCUUAUGCCAGGAAUAAAUUUUAUAAUUUAAAAACACUGUCAGUGAUAAAAAAGAAAUUAUUAAAUAGCAUAGAGUGUAGAUUUUAAGAAAUUUAGCAAGACAUUUUUCAGCAGUGAAAGGAGAACUAGGAAGUCUAGAAUAGAUGUGAUAGCCAUGAUGGCAUUACUAAGGCCAUUAGUAUUGAAUGGGAUAUAAACCAAUAACCUACCACACAAAACACUGAUAUAAUAUAAUAAACUUUAUUUACAGAGGGUGAAGCAAUAAACCAGUGAAUUAUCUAACUUUUGGUCCUCACUACAACUGGGUUGCAGAAAGAUGNGAUAAGAGCACAGCCAAUUAGAAAUAGCAAUAGCUAAUCGAGCUAAGUGGCUGGUCCAUGCGGAGAAAAUCUAUUUGUUGCUGAUUGACUAAAGCAAUGGAUAAGACAAGACAAGACAAAAACAAAANACGACAAGACAAGAUAAGCCGGUGACAAGACAAGACAUUAGACAAGACAAAAUGGACUGUGCUCCUAUCAGCUGGACUAGAAGUGCAUCAUAGAACUAUCAAUAAUUUGAUAUUAUAGAGGCUUUAAGAUUUUUUUUGAAAAGGUUGUAAUGCUUUACUGCUAAACUAAUACUAGGAUUUGUAUACUCUACAGUGUAUUCAUCUUUUGGGUACACAAUUGCUGGUGCUAUAAAUGCUAAAAGGCCAGGCGAGCUUAAUACAGUGUAGCUACUACUAUGAAAGUUGAAACAAGUGCAUUGCUGAUGCAACAUGUGUUUUAAUGUACAAAUGUACAAACUAGAUAGAUAAUCUGACCAGAAAUGCCUACGUAAUAACUCACGCUUACAUAAGACCUCCCAUGAACCUGACAUGCCCUCCUCUACAUAGUCUAGAUUUCUAUUAAAGGGUAGUCAACAUCUACUCUGACCUCAGUAAUGACAAUGAUGUAAUCAUUAGGCUAUUGCCAUCGGAAUAUUGGAUCAAUUUGAAUAUAUAUAUGUAUGAGUUAUAUGCCACAACACCCAUAUCAUGACAUGAAUCACAACCCCACACUUUCUAAGAAAACUGUGUCCUUGUUUUCUAAACUAACUAGGGCAAUCUUGUUUAGCUAAACUGUCACAUCAAUAAAGUAUAAUGCCCUUUCAA